CAACUCCCAAGGCACCCAUUACCCUAUUCUCUCACUCUCAACUUUUAUCUCUCACUGUUUUUCCGUCUUCUCCCAGAGAAACCCUAAUAUUGCCACCGCCCACCGCCAUAACAUCGCAGCAACAACAAAAGCCCCAAAUACCUUCUCUCUUUAAAGAACUCAAUGCCAUAAGCCACCAUCGCCUCCUACGAAUUGGCUCCUCCCACAUAACUUUCGCAGCUCAUAACCCACCACAACUUCUUGAUUUAAGGUCGUAUGGCCUGGAUCGGCGGUUUACUGGGCCAAAUCUGCAAAUUUCAGGGCAUCAAGUACACAUACGGCUCCGACCGGGUAGAAUCCGGACACACCCUGAAAGCCAACGUCGUUGCUGUGAAGCCCACACAUGUGUUCAACGCCGCUGGUCGACCGAACUGUCACACAAGGUGGUACAUGUUUGAUUUUUAUGUGGUUUUGAAUAAGUGUGUGUGAACCCGUUUGAUCGUGAUUAGUUUGUGUUUCAGGGUCUGUGUUCAAACAUCCAAAUCCUCUACAAAUUAAAGAAGUGGUGGACUAGGAAUAAUGCCAACAAAACUCGAGAUAAGAGCAAAACGGUGAAGAUGGGAGUGAGGAUUGUUACUCAGUCGACUGGUUAUACGCAUCCUUGGUGGCAUAGGAUUAAAGAUGGUGUUGUGUUGUCUUUUGGUUAAUCUAAUGGUGUUGGUGGUGAUACGGAUUCGUCUACAGCUCCACAGUCUGCUAAUUAAACACUACAAUGUGACGCCACUCUGAACCAUAAUUUGGUGGAGAAGAUAGGUUUUAUAAUCCGGCAAAAGCGAGAAGAAGCUGUCAAAAUCAAGAUGAACUCCGUGAGCACAAAGUGACGCCACUCCGAACCAUAAUUUGGAGCUAUGAUGCAAGUGACAUUGAAACUCCUAGAAAUGGUUUGUACGCGAUUGGUUUAUCAUGGCGAGUCACCAAGAGAGAUCUUGAGAAGCAUCUCUCUGCAGAAGGAAAGGUGGAAGACGUUCCCCUUGUCAUAGAUCCGUGGACACGGGAAUUUUGUGGGUUUGGGUUUGUAUACAUGUCGAGUAGCAAGGUAACUAGCUGAUAGUUGUAUCAAGUACUUAGAUGGAUCUGUUCUUGAUGGUCGUGUUUGAAAAACUCAAAGGAGGAAGUCAGGUACCUGCAUUACUGUGAUAUUUUUUUAACACUGGUUAGCGAAUAAUUCUUAUGUACCUGAUCUGAUUAAUCGGUUGUGUCAAGAGGUUGCUUUUAGAUUUACAAUAAAGGGUUAAUUAGUUUAUAACCACAUGUGGAUAUUGUUUGUACUGCAAAUGUUAAAUUACAAGUUGCAUAUUGAUUGUAAAA